rnacentral:rRNA from 1 species
UGCAGUCGAGCGGACCGACGGGAGCUUGCUCCCUUAGGUCAGCGGCGGACGGGUGAGUAACACGUGGGUAACCUGCCUGUAAGACUGGGAUAACUCCGGGAAACCGGGGCUAAUACCGGAUGCUUGAUUGAACCGCAUGGUUCAAUCAUAAAAGGUGGCUUUUAGCUACCACUUACAGAUGGACCCGCGGCGCAUUAGCUAGUUGGUGAGGUAACGGCUCACCAAGGCGACGAUGCGUAGCCGACCUGAGAGGGUGAUCGGCCACACUGGGACUGAGACACGGCCCAGACUCCUACGGGAGGCAGCAGUAGGGAAUCUUCCGCAAUGGACGAAAGUCUGACGGAGCAACGCCGCGUGAGUGAUGAAGGUUUUCGGAUCGUAAAACUCUGUUGUUAGGGAAGAACAAGUACCGUUCGAAUAGGGCGGCACCUUGACGGUACCUAACCAGAAAGCCACGGCUAACUACGUGCCAGCAGCCGCGGUAAUACGUAGGUGGCAAGCGUUGUCCGGAAUUAUUGGGCGUAAAGCGCGCGCAGGCGGUUUCUUAAGUCUGAUGUGAAAGCCCCCGGCUCAACCGGGGAGGGUCAUUGGAAACUGGGGAACUUGAGUGCAGAAGAGGAGAGUGGAAUUCCACGUGUAGCGGUGAAAUGCGUAGA